rnacentral:rRNA from 1 species
UACGAAGGGGGCUAGCGUUGCUCGGAAUCACUGGGCGUAAAGCGCACGUAGGCGGCUUUUUAAGUCCGGGGUGAAAUCCUGGAGCUCAACUCCAGAACUGCCUUUGAUACUGAGAAGCUUGAGACCGGGAGAGGUGAGUGGAACUGCGAGUGUAGAGGUGAAAUUCGUAGAUAUUCGCAAGAACACCAGUGGCGAAGGCGGCUCACUGGCCCGGUACUGACGCUGAGGCGCGAAAGCGUGGGGAGCAAACAGG